rnacentral:rRNA from 1 species
GACGAACGCUGGCGGCGUGCCUAAUACAUGCAAGUAGAACGCUGAAGGAGGAGCUUGCUCUUCUGGAUGAGUUGCGAACGGGUGAGUAACGCGUAGGUAACCUGCCUGGUAGUGGGGGAUAACUAUUGGAAACGAUAGCUAAUACCGCAUAAUAACAGUUGUUGCAUGACAACUGUUUGAAAGGUGCAAUUGCAUCACUACCAGAUGGACCUGCGUUGUAUUAGCUAGUUGGUGGGGUAACGGCUCACCAAGGCGACGAUACAUAGCCGACCUGAGAGGGUGAUCGGCCACACUGGGACUGAGACACGGCCCGGACUCCUACGGGAGGCAGCAGUAGGGAAUCUUCGGCAAUGGACGAAAGUCUGACCGAGCAACGCCGCGUGAGUGAAGAAGGUUUUCGGAUCGUAAAGCUCUGUUGUAAGAGAAGAACGAGUGUGAGAGUGGAAAGUUCACACUGUGACGGUAUCUUACCAGAAAGGGACGGCUAACUACGUG